UAUGCUCGAACCUACGCACUCACAGCGGCAGCACUUGGAGAAUAGUAAACACUCGGAGACAAGCUUCAUCUUAUAGGAACAACUGCAAGAAACAUCUUUACACAGCAGCCAAGUUACUACAGUGACCUGGAUGAAACCCUGCCUACCAUCCUUCAGGGUCUUGCUCUGUCACCGAGGCUAGAGUGCAGUGGCACAAUCAUAGAUCACUGCAGCCUUGAACUCCUGGGCUCAGUUGAUCCUCCCACCUCAGCCUCUCAAGCAGCUGGGAUUACAGGUCUUCAGCAAUAUCCUCCAGCACUGUGGUUUGCAAGGGGACGGAGCCAGUACCACACCCCAGAAGCUCGAGGAGAGGGGCCGAUUGACCCCCAGUGACAUGCCUCUCCUGGAAUUAAAGGACAUUGUUCUCUACCUUUGUGAUACCUGCACCACACUUUGGGCCUUUCUGGAUAUCUUCCCUUUGGCUUGCCAGACCUUCCAGAAGCACGACUUUUGUUACAGACUAGCUUCCUUCUACGAAGCAGCAAUUCCCGAAAUGGAGUCUGCAAUUAAGAAGAGGAGGCUUGAAGAUAGCAAGCUUCUUGGUGACCUGUGGCAGAGGCUCUCCCAUUCCAGGAAGAAGCUAAUGGAGAUUUUCCACAUCAUCCUGAACCAGAUCUGCCUCCUUCCCAUCCUAGAAAGCAGCUGUGACAACAUUCAGGGCUUCAUCGAAGAGUUCCUUCAGAUCUUCAGCUCCUUGCUUCAGGAGAAGAGGUUCCUCCGGGACUAUGAUGCACUCUUCCCCGUGGCUGAAGACAUCAGCUUGCUGCAGCAGGCCUCAUCAGUCUUGU
rnacentral:sRNA from 1 species